AAUCAUAAAUAAUAAAGAAUAGGAGGGGCAAAUAAUAAAUCAAGAUAUAGACGGUCAAGAACGCACCGUCGGGGCCGAUCCAACGGCUCUUAAUCAAAGACAAUCGAGCGGCCCAGAUUCAAUCUGGAAAGAUCAAACGGCUGGGAAACAACCUAUUUAAAGAAAUCCAUUUAGGGUUUCUCUUUCAUUCGAACCAGAGAAGCCGAAAAUGAAAGAGGGAGAGAGGAGAUCGGCGAGCUAGAGAGAGAAGGAGAAGCGGGUGUGUCGGAAGUGAUAGCCAGACCGAGAGAAAGAAGAGAGCACAGCGAGGGAGGGAGGCGCGCAAGGAAAACCAGAAAAGGAGAAGGAAACGCGGCCGAAGAAGAAGGAAGGUGUCACGAAAGCCGAAGGCCGGAGUGAGAAGAGGGAAGAAGAAUCGCGACCGAGAGACGCACGCGACGCCGGCGUUCGAAGAACAGGUAAGUUUUCGUCCCGUUCCGCUUCGUCGGGUUCCCUUUCGCGUCUCACUCGAACGAGUAUGCUGAUUUGAAGCGGAAUCGACCAACCCGUCGCGACGAGUGAGGAGUUCUUCUCGGGAAGACCGGAAAAUCUUUUCUGGAGGCAAGAAACCGAAACCCGAAGCUGUUCGGAUCUUCACGGCGUCGAACCCGAACCAGGUGAUCUCUCUUUUCCUUUUUCGUCAUGGAUUUUUGGUAAACAUAGGUGCGGACGCGUGUGUGUGCGCGCAGAAUCCGUGAGGCAGAACGCUUCCGUCGACCCAGUUCACCGAAAGGUGGUCCAUUUGGGUACCGAAAUCCAAGUUUUCACGUGCACCCAUAUUGAACCGUACUGAAUCUGGUAUUGCAGGGGCGCUUCGGGAAAGCCAGUCCGCGAAGGUAUUUGGUAAGUAUUCUUCAUUCUGAACCUGGAUUGGGAUUUUUGAAGUCUAUGCAUGUAUAUUAUUGAUUUUGUGUGUGUUUGAGUCUAGAACAGAUGCUUCAUUUGUACGCUGAGAAGAACAGAGACCCGAACACCGUCCGGACAAAGUGAACCUACCAGGGGGAGUUCAGGACACUUGAUCUAUGAUGGUUGCUUGCCUAUUCUGUUCUUUUAAUAAUUGUGCAUGAAAAGGACAAAGUUUGAGAAUUAUGAUUAAAUAAAAUAAGACUACUAAUUAAAAAUAAUUACGAUAAGGAAGUCGACCAGGGAAAUUGGUGAGAUAAAAGAGAUGUUCAAUCGAGAAAAUAAUAAAUUAAAAUAAAUAUUUAAAAAAUAAUUAAAUUGAUCAAAACAAAAAUUAAUAAAUUAAUAAAAGGAGGAAAUCAAGAAUAAGGAGUGGAUAUGAGUGAGUAAUAUAUAAAUUCUAGAUAUUUAUUUGUUUGGUUUGGAUAGAGGAGGGGAGGCUGCAUGUCAUGUCGAAGAUUAGUGAAUUUGUACAUGAAUAGUGAAUAAAUUAUAGUUCAGACAUGUAAAGGUAUUUGUGAACAUAUAGA